rnacentral:rRNA from 1 species
GCACGCCUGUUUGAGCAGCGCUACC